AUUGAACGCUGGCGGCAGGCCUAACACAUGCAAGUCGAACGAGUGGCGGACGGGUGAGUAAUGUCUGGGAAACUGCCUGAUGGAGGGGGAUAACUACUGGAAACGGUAGCUAAUACCGCAUACCAUCGGAUGUGCCCAGAUGGGAUUAGCUAGUAGGUGGGGUAAAGGCUCACCUAGGCGACGAUCCCUAGCUGGUCUGAGAGGAUGACAAGCUACACGGGAACUGAGACACGGUCCAGACUCCUACGGUAGGCAGCAGUGGUGAAUAGUGCACAAUGGGCUCAAGCCUGAUGCAGCCAUGCCGCGUGUAUGAAGAAGGCCUUCGUGUUUUAAAGUACUUGCAGCGGGGAGGCGUUACCCUCAGAAGAAGCCCCGGCUAACUCCGUGCCAGCAGCCGCGGUAAUUC
rnacentral:rRNA from 1 species